CCGGUGGCCUCCCUGACUCUUCCUCGCUUUCAUCUUGGCUCUGGUGAUAGCCAUCUUCAUCAUUAUCUGCUCCUCUGCCAAUGGCGCCGUGCGGAUGUCGCUGAAGCUCUUGGAGUUGAUGCUAGAUUCCUCCUUUGCACCGCUGUCCCCAUUCACCACCGACUAGACAGGUUUUGCGUACCCAAAGAAUUAUCUUGACACAAUCACACAGGACGAGACUGAGCAUCUAAGGCAGCAUUCAUCUGAUGAAGAGGAUUUCUUCUCAUCACUGACAAACAAUCAGUCAGAAGAAGUUGUCCCUCAAACUCAACACAGGCCUGCCUGCAUCUGCCGCCUGUGAACGUCUUUUCAGCUGUGCUGGAAUACUCUACACUGCAAAGCGGGCCAGGAUAGACUCAAUUAAAUUAGAAAAUCAGCUACUACUGA
ensembl:lncRNA